rnacentral:lncRNA from 1 species
CUGUUUGGUGGUCUCUUCACACAGACGCGCAUGAAAUUUGGUAAUCAGGAGCUUGCUACACGUGCCGGAAAUCUGGCCACUGGGCCAAGGAAUGCCCGCUGCCCGGGAUUCCUCCUAAGCCGCGUCCCAUCUGUGUGGGACCCCACUGAAAAUCGGACUGUUCAACUCACCUGGCAGCCACUCCCAGAGCCCCUGGAACUCUGGCCCAAGGCUCUCUGACUGACUCCUUCCCAGAUCUUCUCGGCUUAGCGGCUGAAGACUGACACUGCCCGAUCGCCUCGGAAGCCCCCUAGACCAUCACGAACGCCGAGCUUUGGGUAACUCUCACAGUGAAAGGUAUAUGCCCAGAUGGCCUGAAGUAACUGAAGAAUCACAAAAGAAGUGAAUAUGCCCUGCCCCGCCUUAACUGAUGACAUUCCACCACAAAAGAAGUGUAAAUGGCCGGUCCUUGCUUUAAGUGAUGAGGUUACCUUGUGAAAGUCCUUUACCUGGCUCAUCCUGGCUCAAAAAGCACCCCCACUGAGCACCUUGCGACCCCCCACUCCUGCCCGCCAGAGAACAAACCCCCUUUGACUGUAAUUUUCCUUUACCUACCCAAAUCCUAUAAAACGGCCCCACCCUUAUCUCCCUUUGCUGACUCUCUUUUCGGACUCAGCCCGCCUGCACCCAGGUGAAAUAAACAGCCAUGUUGCUCAC